rnacentral:rRNA from 1 species
UACGGGGGGAGCAAGCGUUGUUCGGAUUUACUGGGCGUAAAGGGCGCGUAGGCGGUCGUGACAAGUCACUUGUGAAAUCUCCGGGCUUAACUCGGAAAGGUCAAGUGAUACUGUCGGACUAGAGUACAGAAGGGGCAACUGGAAUUCUCGGUGUAGCGGUGAAAUGCGUAGAUAUCGAGAGGAACACCUGCGGCGAAGGCGGGUU